AGAGUUUGAUCCUGGCUCAGAAUAAAUGCUAUUGGUAUGCUUAACACAUGCAAGUUGAAUGUUUAAUUUUUAAACAUAGCGAACGGGUGAGUAACGCGUGAAUUAUCUCCUUUUAAUUCAGGAUAAUUAUUUUAUAUAAAAAUACUGAAUAAUUUUAAUAAAGUUUUAAUAACGUUAAAAGAUGAGUUUGCGUAAGAUUAGGUAGUUGGUAGUUUAAAAGACUACCAAGCCGACUAUCUUUAGCUGGUUUGAAAGAAUGAUCAGCCACAUUGGGACUGAGACACGGCCCAAACUUUUUUAAAGGCAGCAGUGGGGAAUUUUGGACAAUGAGCGAAAGCUUGAUCCAGCAAUACCAAGUGAGUGAAGAAGGCUAAUUAGGUUGUAAAGCUCUUUCAUUAAGGAGGAAAAUGACAGUACUUAAAAAAGAAGUUCCGGCUAAUACCCGUGCCAGCAGCCGCGGUAAUACGGGAGGAGCGAGCAUUAUUCGGAAUGAUUAGGCGUAAAGGGUUUGUAGGUGGUUUUUUAAGUUGAAAAAAACAAAUUAAAGCUCAACUUUAUAAAUUUUUUCAAAACUGAAAAACUUGAGUAUAAAUAGAGGAUAAUGGAAUUUCUAUUGGAGGGAUAAAAUACGUUGAUAAUAGAAGGAAGAUCAAAAGCGAAGGCAAUUAUCUGGGUAUAUACUGACACUGAGAAACGAAAGCUUGGGUAGCGAACGGGAUUAGAGACCCCGGUAGUCCAUGCUGUAAACGAUGAGUGCUCAUAUUUAGAAUUUUUAGAUAUCAAGCUAACGCGUUAAGCACUCCGCCUGAAAAGUAUAAUCGCAAGAUUGAAAUUCAAAGGAAUUGACGGGAGUCUACACAAGCGGUGGAGCAUGUGGUUUAAUUCGAUAAUACGCGCAGAACCUUACCAACUCUUGCAAAUUAGAUUAAAAAAUUAAAUUUAAUCUAAACAGGCGUUGCAUGGCUGUCGUCAGCUCGUGUUGUGAAAUGUUUGGUUAAAUCCUUUAACGAGCGC
rnacentral:rRNA from 1 species